UACGUAGGGUGCGAGCGUUGUCCGGAAUUACUGGGCGUAAAGUGUGCGCAGGUGGCUUCGCAAGUCGAGUGUGAAAUCCCCGGGCUUAACCUGGGAAUUGCGCUCGAAACUACGUAGCUAGAGUGUGGCAGAGGGAGGUGGAAUUCCACGUGUAGCGGUGAAAUGCGUAGAGAUGUGGAGGAACACCAAUGGCGAAGGCAGCCUCCUGGGUCAACACUGACACUCAUGCACGAAAGCGUGGGGAGCAAACAGG
rnacentral:rRNA from 1 species